AGUGCAGUGUUGUCUCAGUGCGGUGUUGCUUUCCUUUGUCGUGGUCGUGUCUCCACCGUCCUCUACCGUCGUCGCACAUCUUCCAUCGUUCUUCCUCACUUCUUCACCGUCUCAGAGGUGCAGUGCUGCUUUCCUUUGUAGCGUGGUCGUUUCUCAAAGGAGAAGAUCGUUCUCCACUCUCCAUCGUCUUCCACCGCUGCACAUCGUUCUCCACCGUUCUUCCUCACUGUCUCAUGGAAACUUCCUCCACCACCGCUUGAGAUAACGAAGAUUGCUCUCCCUUGCUUCCAAUUUCGUUUUCAUACUUCAUCUCCCUAUUUCGUCUUUCGAUUUUUCUCUUUCGAUCUCUCAAUUUCAUUUUCAUACUUCAUCUCCCUUGGUUUUGUUUUCAUUUCAUUUGCUAUUACGUUCAAUUUUUGCUUUCGAUUUUGCUCUAAUUUCAUUUCUCUUUUUGAUUUUGUCACUACGUGCGAUUUUGCCAAGUAACCGUGCCAUAGCCAUUGCAAUCGGAUUGAGUUCAGAUUUGCCAUUGCCAAGAAUCGUGCGUUCAAUUUUCGUGCUCCUCUUUUCGGGCGUUCAAUCGGAGUGCGUUCAAUUUUCGUGCGUUCAAUCAGAUUGGUACAAUGUUCGUUGGCAUGGUUCACGAAGUUGCUUACACCUUGCAAUAGAGGGAUACUUGAAGAAGCAUUGAUGUCAAAUGCAGAGAAAGCUCGAACUUUAUUUGGAAUUUCUCUCUCUUGGGACUCUAAUUUAAUCAUCAAUGCCUUUUCAUCUUUAUUAUACAACAAUACGUGAAGAAGGAAAAGGACGAAGGCUCUUUGCAAAUUCACCAACUAAUUCAGUUUUUGGAAAUAGAGUUAAUGUAAGAAUUUCUUAUCCUUAUAUAUUAUGUAUUAUAGUUUAAUCAUUAUAUUUUAUCCUUCUAUUUUAUUAUAUAUUCCAAAUUCAUUCCAUAUUUGUAAUAAUGUUUAAGUUUCU